UUCACCUUUCCCUCACGGUACUUGUUCACUAUCGGUCACAUGGGAGUACUUAGGCUUGGAGCGUGGUCGCCCCAUAUUCAGACAAAAUUUCACGUGUUCCGUCCUACUCAAGGACCUUAAUAUGAUUGUACGCAUAAGGGGCUAUCACCCACUAUGGCUGACCUUUCCAGAUCAUUUUGCUUAUCAUAUUAAGGCCACUGGCCUGGUCCCUGUUCGCUCGCCACUACUAAGGGAGUCUCACUUGAUUUCCUUUCCUCCAGCUACUAAGAUGUUUCAAUUCGCUGGGUUUGCGCAAUUUAGCUAUAUAUUCACUAAAAUGCACCCCUAAAGGGGUGGGUUUCCCCAUUCGGACAUCCCGGUAUCAAAGUUUAUUGGCAACUCCACCGAGCUUAUCGCAGCCUAUCACGUCCUUCAUCGCCUCCAUGUGCCAAGGCAUCCACCAAA
rnacentral:rRNA from 1 species